AAGACUGCAAGGUUCUUCUUAAUUCACUGUCCUCUGUGAAGAAGUUCAAAGGAUGGGAGAAAGCAGAACAAAACAUCAGCAUGAAGAGCGUUAUGUGAUUCAUCUAGAAAUACAACUGAAAAGUCACUGGCUUUCUUGCAGCUAAGUUCCAAUUAGGUAACAACUUACAGCCUUGGAGCUUGGUCUCACGUCUUUCACAGGCUAAGCAUUAAACAAGCAAACUUACUUCCUUAAAUUCCGCCUUCAGGACAGCAUGCCCUAGAGUGGUCUGCCACUGAAGCUUUCGACCACUGUGUUUUCCCAGGUAAAAGGUUUUAAAUACCUCUUGAAGCUUUAUCAUCUGUAAAGCAAAGAGACAGAAAAAUUUGUUUAUGUUAGACCAGUGCAGUGGUGCCAGUUGAUUCCACACAUGUAAUUCACAGAACUCAGAAUCACAGAAUGUCAGGGAUUGGAAGGGACCUUGAAAGAUCAUCUAGUCCAAUCCCCCUGCCGGAGCAGGAACACCUAGAUGAGGUUACUAAUCUUUUUAGUUCUCCUCAACAAUGUUUCAUAGCAAGUGUUUUCAUGUGAAAAACUAAAUACAAAGAGCAAAAUUCUGCUCUCAAGUGCAUGCAUGCUAUUAUGCACAAAUCAAAGUCUCAAUUCAAAAAAUAGCUUUUGAUUUCCCUUUUUUGGUUGUUGUUUUUUGUUUGUUUCUUGUAAAUAAAAGUAAAAUAACCUCCCAGUAAAGGGUUUUAAACCUCAAAAAUACAUACCAGUUUUGUCCUGAACUUUGAAUCUGACCAGGGAACCACAGGACAAAAAGCACACAUCUUAGAUCUAUACACUAUUACCAUCUACUCCCAAGCUCUUCCUUUAGUUUGUCCUAUACAUAUUCUAGUCUGAUUUCAGUACUAUAUACCCUCAUAUAUUUCAAGUAAGGGGAUUUUACCCCUCCAUUUUCAUGAUGUUUUGCUUAGGUUGGAUCCUUCUGAAGUAGCCUACUGAGGAAAUGAUGCCAGAGAAGCAAAAGCAAAAAAACUUCCACAGCUUCUGAACCAAAGGGGAACAUUGCUACCACCUCUGGCCUCUGCAGUGCUUCCCACAUUUCAGAUGUAGCCAAGUAUUGCAGGAAAUAGGACUGCAAAUACAUAUUUCAACAUCAGUCACUACUGGUAGGAACUUUGGAAAAAUCUCUCAACUUGGAAGCAAUCCAUUUUCAGGAUCAUGGGCUGCCUUGUAUUUCCCGUUGGAACAGCUGCAAAUCAUAUGAAAUCGUUCUGGGAUCCAGAAGAACAUUUUCCCUCUGGUGGUCUGAUUUAUUAAAAUUUAAGAAAAAAAGGAGAAAAAAAGAAAAAGAGUUCCUAUAUAUUAAAGAAAAAAUCUUCAAAAGCCUAAGGCCAGCACCAGGACUUUUCUCUGAGCCUCUUCAGCUCACUAAAUUGACAUAAAACUGACCUUGCCCAGAUACUGUGUUAAAACAGAUCACAGAAGAGUCUAUGGAGUGGCAGGCAGCACAAGGAUUAUGUCAGGAGUAUGAUCUGGGAGCAACGAAGAAGGAAGAUAUUCCUUCUCAGCUACAACAAGCUGUUCAAUUGGCCCAGCUGCCUAUGGAUCCGCGGACUGCAUUUGGGGACACUGGAAGACACAACGUCCCACACGCAUGGGCUGGGUCCUGGUGCACCAUGCAGAACUACAGACAUGGGUGUGCAGGAAAGGCACCUCUGAAAUGAACUGAUGUUGUCCUGAAGGCUGAUGAACGCAUGGGCAAUUCACAACUGAAUUACCACAUUGGGAAUUAUCAUCUCCAGAGAGAAAUUCCCUCUGUGGAGCUUUGCUGCUUUCAUCUUGCAAGUGCAAGUUCUCUUGGGCAGUGUACUACAUGCAUAUUGUGCCUAGCAAAACAAACCUGAAGCAUCUAAAUAUGACUUUGAUGAUGGAUUACUUUUAAGAGGAGUAUUCUGUUCAAAAUAGCUUAAACAUCCAUCAGCAUGGCUGUAGUUUGGUUACACCUAGCACUGCUGGCCUGCAGUAGAAUAGCUACAUUCUGAUGUUCCACUGAUUUUGCAGAUAUGUAGACAGCUGAGUAUAUUUGUAGCAAGACAACACCUCAUACAAUCCAGCAUAUUCUAAUCACAUGUGCAUGUGGCUCUAUUUAAAGAGAAAACAAAUCAGGAUAAUUUCUUGUAUAACAUUCAAACCUAUGAGGAAGGCAAUUUCCAAGUAGAAAUUUAAAACCAAAACUUAGGUGUUGCUGUUUCUCAGCAUGUGACUGUUAUUGGGGGGAAAGCACUAACAUCCCUCCUCGUAUUUGCUUAAAACUGAAUUUUGACGCAUACAUCUACAUAUUAUUCUAGGUUUUGAUAGAAGAAAUCUAUGAUAACAGCAUAAUAUUUGACAUUAAUAAGAGAUCUUUGAAAUACCUUGAU